rnacentral:rRNA from 1 species
CGCCGCGUGAGGGACGAAGGCUUUCUGAGUUGUAAACCUCUUUCGACAGGAACGAUUGUGACGGCACCUAUAGAAGAAGCCCCGGCUAACUUCGUGC